CGGGGCGUAGCGCAGUCCGGUUAGCGCAUCUGGUUUGGGACCAGAGGGUCGUGAGUUCGAAUCCCACCGCCCCGACCA
rnacentral:tRNA from 1 species